rnacentral:rRNA from 1 species
GGGCCCGCACAAGCGGUGGAGUAUGUGGUUUAAUUCGAUGCAACGCGAAGAACCUUACCAGGGUUUGACAUCCUGCGAAUCUCUUGGAAACGAGAGAGUGCCUUCGGGAACGCAGUGACAGGUGGUGCAUGGCUGUCGUCAGCUCGUGUCGUGAAAUGUUGGGUUAAGUCCCGCAACGAGCGCAACCCUUAUCCUUGUUUGCCAGCGAGUAAUGUCGGGAACUCCAGGGAGACUGCCGGUGAUAAACCGGAGGAAGGUGGGGACGACGUCAAGUCAUCAUGGCCCUUACGAGUAGGGCUACACACGUACUACAAUGCUACGGACAAAGGGCAGCAAGUUCGCGAGGACAAGCAAAUCCCAUAAACCGUGGCUCAGUUCAGAUCGUAGGCUGCAACUCGCCUACGUGAAGGCGGAAUCGCUAGUAAUCGCAGGU